CCUUGCAGUGUACUUAUUACACUGUAUUGGAAUCGCUUCUUUUCUCUUUCUCUGUGAAUUUCUUGAGAGCACAGACUACAUUCUGCUUAACUUUUUAUCCCCAGCUUUCAGCACAGUGCCUGGCUGCUUUGGCGUCUCCAAGUACCUGACCUCAGCUCAACCUGUCUUGGGUUUUCUUCUCCUCCCUGACAUUGACAACCCAGCCCUCCUAGGCACAGAGAGAUGGAGCUGAGUGUGGUUUUCCUGAAAUAAAGCUUGCAUUAUGAGAGGGAAUAAACAGAAGAAAAAAAUAAACCUGCACAGUUUGCUGAUGUUACACAGUGCCUCAGCUCAGAAUGGAUUUGGGAUCAGGCAUUAUUGAGUCUUCUUGGAAUCUGCUAGUUGGAAGGGUCCUCAGAUGUACUUCCGUUUUUAACUUAGCCAUUUCAAGCUCCUACUCAGCGAAGACUCCCCCUCCAGGUGGGGGACACUGUUGGUAGCCCACUCAGCAUUUCUCCUUCUUCCUGUAACAGAGGCCUGACUUUUUCCAACCCUCCACCCUCCACUAAGCGGCCAAGUAUCAGAGGGAAAGCUUAUCCUGGGCUGAAAUAAUUUAAGGAUAAUAUGUUCCCUUUUGUCAAGAAUUGGUUUAGAAAUGGAAAUGUGACCAAGUUGUGGCUGCAGAGCCUCGGGGAGAGAUUUGCUUGUGAUUUCCAAGGAAGUCCUUCCUCCCUCCUUAGAGAGAAAGUCCAGUUGUUAUUGGCAGCCACUUUACACCUAGGAGGACAGCCAACUUCAAGAUGAAGAUGUCAGUAUAGAUUGUGGGCUGGGAUUUGAAAAUCUGAGCUGUUGCUAACAUCACUGAGGGUAACCUAAAGUCUGCUUUAUCUCUGAAAUUCUCUUUUUAUGAAUAAGUAUAUUUCCUUUUUGAAAAGA
ensembl:lncRNA novel transcript, antisense to C7orf33 and CNTNAP2